GAUGAAGAACGUAGCGAAAUGCGAUACGUAAUGUGAAUUGCAGAAUUCAGUGAAUCAUCGAGUCUUUGAACGCACAUUGCGCCCCCUGGUAUUCCGGGGGGCAUGCCUGUCCGAGCGUCAUUGCUGCCCUCAAGCACGGCUUGUUUGUUGGGCCUCCGUCCUCCUCCCGGGGGACGGGCCCGAAAGGCAGCGGCGGCACCGCGUCCGGUCCUCGAGCGUAUGGGGCUUCGUCACCCGCUCUUGUAGGCCCGGCCGGCGCUUGCCGACACAUCAAUCUUUUUUCCAGGUUGACCUCGGAUCAGGUAGGGAUACCCGCUGAACUUAAGCAUAUCAAUAAGCGGAGGA
rnacentral:misc_RNA from 1 species